AAAGUUAGAGGUUCGAAGGCGAUCAGAUACCGCCCUAGUUCUAACCAUAAACGAUGCCAGCCAGCGAUCCGGCUGUGUUCCUCAAAUGACACGCCGGGCAGCUUCCGGGAAACCAAAGCUUUUGGGUUCCGGGGGAAGUAUGGUUGCAAAGCUGAAACUUAAAGGAAUUGACGGAAGGGCACCACCAGGAAUGGAGCCUGCGGCUUAAUUUGACUCAACACGGGAAAACUUACCCGGCCCGGACACAGGAAGGAUUGACAGAUUAAGAGCUCUUUCUUGAUUCUGUGGGUGGUGGUGCAUGGCCGUUCUUAGUUGGUGGAGCGAUUUGUCUGGUUAAUUCCGAUAACGAACGAGACUCUAGCCUACUAAAUAGACGUUCCGAUCAUCUGCGUCGGACGUUCUUCUUAGAGGGACAAGCGGCGUUUAGCCGCACGAGACAGAGCAAUAACAGGUCUGUGAUGCCCUUAGAUGCACGGGGCCGCACGCGCGCUACAUUGAAGGAAUCAGCGUGUGCUUUCCCUGUCCGACAGGACUGGGUAACCCGUUGAACCUCCUUCGUGCUGGGGAUAGGGGCUUGUAAUUGUUCCCCUUGAACGAGGAAUUCCCAGUAAGCACGAGUCAUAAGCUCGUGUUGAUUACGUCCCUGCCCUUUGUACACACCGCCCGUCGCUACUACCGAUUGAAUGAUUUAGUGAGGUCUUCGGACUGGCGCUCGGAGCGGCCUUCGGGUCGCGCCGGCGUGCCGGAAAGAUGACCAAACUUGAUCAUU
rnacentral:rRNA from 2 species